AGCUUGAUCAGAGCAGCUCUAACACCACUCUCCUGGGUGGGCUCUGCUGUUUAACCAGUGAGCUCCCACUGGAAUGGGUGGAGGCAUUAACUGGGUGCCUUUCCUCCACCUGAGGCUACUCCACCAGCCUCAUAGCAACUCCUUCCCACCUUUCCAUCAGACACACAGACAUUUACCAUCAGUUCUCCUUUACUGAAACCUUGUUUGCAGCUGUGGUUCAGCUGAAGGAUCCUGUGCUAGAUGCCAUGCACCCACGUGUGUACCUGAGCAGGGACAGGCUGGCUGUGGCAGAAGGGUGCUGGGAUGUUUGGGAACACACGGGAGGGGGACUGGGGCCCAUGUAAGCAGCUGGGUUUGCUCACAAGCUGGAGGUGGGACACAGCAGGGGCGGGGGAACAGGGCUGUGCCCCCAGGGUACAUCCCUGCACUAUAAAAACUCCUUUGGCUGCAUCCAGAGUCAGGGGAAAGCAGCAGCUUCCACCUCUGCUACUGACUCCUAGAGCCUUGUCCAGGCAGGAGGACCCUGAGCAAAGGCAGGACCUGAGGAUGAAGGUCCAGGCACUGGCAGUCACCACGCUCCUCCUGGUGCUGCUCUGCCCAGCCCCAGCACUGUCUGGGGCACUGGGGAGCCAGGCUGGCACCCUGCAGAGGCAGGCAGAGGCUGGGCUCCCUGGAGAAGCCCCUUGGCCACCUGGACUUGGAGGGGACAAGCUGCCUGGGCAGGGCUCAGAGAGAAGGAGCCACCCUCUGGCCAGUGCAUGGAAAGUGAUGAGAGAGGCACAGCCCAGCUCCAGGUCCCUCAGCAAGGCCACGGCCGGGGCUCUGCGGGGCAGUGGGGAGCAGGCUGCCCCUGGCAGGCCCUGGAGGCUCCCCCUGCAGCCCUCCCGCAGCAGGACGGCCAGGCUGAGCCAGCACCUGAAGGACUACGGGAAGUUCAACAGCGACACGCACUCCUGCCCCAGCAUCCAGUCCCGGCCCUGCCAGAAGCCCUCUGACUGCGGGGGCUGCCUGGGGCUCUACACCUGCAAGCUGCCCGCUGCCACCUGCCACCUGAAGGCUGUCUCCAGGCAGAGAGGUGGCUUCCUCCAAAGCAUACAGAGCCCUUAGAUGGAGAGUCAAGCUCAUCUUGGAGCAGCAUAGCUCAAACUAAAGCUGAAGAGGCUGUCCUGCAGCUGGAGAUCAACACUUCCUGUCCAAGUUGCAUUUUAAAUCCUUAAUGACACAGUUGUAAAUGCUUCUUUCAUUGUACUUCUCUUGUUCCUGCUUUUUAACAUCCCCUUUGGGUUUUGUACACUAUGUAGGCUUGAUUCCCACUUUCUUGAGAGCAGACAAUAAAUGCAGUGAGUGGUCAUGGAGCCCUGUGCUGGCAGAGCCCCCUUGGAGCUCCCCAAUGAGGCAAACAGGGCUAUUUCACAGCCCUUUUUAAUUUGAGCCAUUAGGAUAGUGCAGUAAAAGCUGCCAGCAUCUCAGCAUGCUCACACACCAGUUCAAGCUGAGCUAAGUGUUGGGUAGCCUGGGAUCCCUCCCUGCUCCUCACCACAGCUCCUGCCAAGGAAGGCCAAGUCCCACGCUGCUGAAAACAUCACUAAGGAGAGGAAUGUGGAGUCCCCAGGAGAGGCUUAGCAGUGUGGGGCCAUGUAGGAGACCUGCUUCUGAAGGCUGGAGCUGAGCCACAGAUCAGCUUUAUUUAGCAACCCACAGAGCUUUGCAGGCAUCCUGGCCACCUUUACACGUGUGGGGGUGACCCCAGCUUUGCAAAGCUCCAUAAUGUUUCCAUUUAAAACCCUUCUAGAACAAGAACCAAAGCACAGCAUUUGAUUCACCUCAAACCCCACUGCAGUUCCCUUCAGUGAGCCACCACCAGCUCCUGUGACAGUGAAGUGGCACCAGUUUUGUUCAGCACACCCAAGGGGCAGCCCCCCCCACCUGGUCACCUCUGAGGGAGCCUGACCCUGGCUGGGGAAGGGGAGUAAAUGCUGCUGGCUUCUCUGAGCCCCUCUAUUGUUGCUUCCUCUGCCCCUGCACAGAGGUUUGGGGGGCACAGAGCUGCAGGUGUUGCCUCCUGCCUGGUGU